rnacentral:lncRNA from 1 species
UAGUGCAAAAGGAUAGAUUUCAAAUUUAUAUGUUUUUGAUUGAGGAAGCUGGGGUUGACACGCUAAGGAACUCUUUUUCCAAUAUCAUUUAGCUUCAGAACAAAUUCCUUUUUCUAAAUGUUGAGAUUUCUAGAGAAUCAAAUAGGUUCCCUUAAUGUCAAGGUCAUGAACUAUAUAUUUUAGGAUCUUAUCUUUGCACGGGUUUUGGAUUUAACUUUCUAGAAUUGUUCUGAAAUACAUCGAUUUUCUUACACCUUAGACAUGAUAAUUGAGGCUAAACAAUGAAAUAUAUUGCCCUGAACGUGCGCAGGCACAUGUGUUCUUGUGUGUUGUUUUUUUUCUUUUUUUGGGUGGGGGUGUAAAUUGUGUUUGUAUCUCUUUCGAUAAACCGUAAUUAGAUAAAGGUUUUAGAAGAUGCUACAGUUCUUGUUAUAGCUUUGGUGCAUGGAUCACAUGACCUGAUCAUUUUGUGCGAGGAUUUGUUUGUGCUUCUUCUUAUAGCCGAUG